AUUGAACGCUGGCGGCAGGCCUAACACAUGCAAGUCGAGCGAGCGGCGGACGGGUGCGGAAUGGCUGGGAAACUGCCGGAUGGAGGGGGAUAACUACUGGAAACGGUAGCUAAUACCGCAUAACAUCAGAUGUGCCCAGGUGGGAUUAGCUAGUAGGUGGGGUAACGGCUCACCUAGGCGACGAUCCCUAGCUGGUCUGAGAGGAUGAUCAGCCACACUGGGACUGAGACACGGUCCAGACUCCUACGGGAGGCAGCAGUGGGGAAUAUUGCACAAUGGGCGCAAGCCUGAUACAGCCAUGCCGCGUGUAUGAAGAAGGCCUUCGGGUUGUAAAGCACUUUCAGCGGGGAGGCGUUACCCACCGAAGAAGCAACGGCUAACUCCGUGCCAGCAGCCGCGGUAAUUC
rnacentral:rRNA from 1 species